rnacentral:rRNA from 1 species
UAGGGAAUCUUCCGCAAUGGACGCAAGUCUGACGGAGCAACGCCGCGUGAGUGAAGAAGGAUUUCGGUUCGUAAAACUCUGUUGUUAGAGAAGAACAGCGCAUAGAGUAACUGUUAUGCGUGUGACGGUAUCUAACCAGAAAGCCACGGCUAACUACGUGCCAGCAGCCGCGGUAAUACGUAGGUGGCAAGCGUUGUCCGGAAUUAUUGGGCGUAAAGCGAGCGCAGGCGGUCAAUUAAGUCUGAUGUGAAAGCCCCCGGCUCAACCGGGGAGGGUCAUUGGAAACUGGUUGACUUGCGUGCAGAAGAGGAGAGUGGAAUUCCAUGUGUAGCGGUGAAAUGCGUAGAUAUAUGGAGGAACACCAGUGGCGAAGGCGACUCUCUGGUCUGUAACUGACGCGGAGGCUCGAAAGCGUGGGUAGCAAACAGG